rnacentral:rRNA from 1 species
CGGGACCAGCGGGCUGGUCCCAUGAGGUGACUUCUGCCCAGUGCUCUGAUUGUCACUGCGAAGAGAUUCAGCCAAGCGCGGGUAAACGGCGGGAGUAACUAUGACUCUCUUAAGGUAGCCAAAUGCCUCGUCAACCAAUUAUUGACGCGCAUGAAUGGAUCAACGAGAUUCCUGCUGUCCCUAGGUGCUGUCCGGUGAACCAACAGCCAAGGGAACGGGCUUGGGUGUGUCAGCGGGGAAAGAAGACCCUGUUGAGUUUGACUCUAGUUUGAUGCUGUGCAACGACAUGUGGGGUGUAGCAUAGGUGGGAGGCAAGUGCCAUACACAACCCAUCCACUCUCUCUGUGUGCGAAGAAGAAGAACAACCAUUCUGUCUGUACUCUGUUCUGUGCGAAGAGGAGCGAAGAGUCUCCAUGGUGCGAACCAGCAGUGAAAUACCACUACCUUCACCGUCGUUUUACUCAUCGAGUGGCUUGGGAACGGUGGCCAUUGGACAUCGGCCUCUGCAAUCCUGCGGGGGUCGUGGCCUCUACCCGCUUCGUGUGCCAAGCGCUGUCUCCUCGCGGGACGGCGCGACCCAGUGGGGUUUACACCCUGCCCACUCAGCUUGGUGCCUCGGGACAAUGAUCAGUUGGGGAGUUUGGCUGGGGCGGCACGCCUGUUACAGCACAACGCAGGCGUCCUGAAGCGUUGCUCAGAUGGGAGAGAAACCUUGCAUGGAGGAGCAGGCCAAAGGUGCCGCUGAUGCUGCGACUUUCAGUACAAGUCCAAAACGUGCAAACGUGGCCUUGCGAUCCUUUGGUUAAGUGCACGGGUUUGGGAUAUUGAAGCCAGAGGUGUCAGAAAAAUUACCACAGGGAUAACUGGCUUGUGGCUGCCAAGCGUUCAAAGCGACGUCGCUUUUUGAUCCUUCGAUGUCGGCUCUUCCUAGCUUCCCACCCGCAGCCGAGUGGAAGAGUUGGAUUGUUCACCCACCAACAGGGAACG